rnacentral:rRNA from 1 species
CUGACCUUAGGCCUGGGAUAAACCUGGGAAACUGGGUAUAAUACCGGAUAGGCCUCGACUGCUGGAAUGCAUCGAGGCUGAAAGCUCCGGCGCCUAAGGAUGGGUCUGCGGCCUAUCAGGGUAGUAGUGGGUGUAAUGUACCUACUAGCCUACGACGGGUACGGGUCGUGAGAGCGAGAGCCCGGAGAUGGAUUCUGAGACACGAAUCCAGGCCCUACGGGGUGCAGCAGGCGCGAAAACUUUACAAUGCUGGAAACAGCGAUAGGGGGACUUUGAGUGCCAGGAUACAAUUCUGGCUGUCGUCGUGCCUAAAAAGCACGGCAUAGCAAGGGCCGGGCAAGACCGGUGCCAGCCGCCGCGGUAACACCGGCGGCUCGAGUGGUAACCGCUAUUAUUGGGUCUAAAGGGUCUGUAGCCGGCUGAAAAAGUCUCUUGGGAAAUCUGGCUGCUCAACAGUCAGGCUUUCAGGAGAUACUCUUCGGCUCGAGACCGGGAGAGGUGAGAGGUACUUCAUGGGUAGGGGUGAAAUCUUGUAAUCCUUGAAGGACCACCAGUGGCGAAGGCGUCUCACCAGAACGGAUCUGACGGCAAGGGACGAAAGCUAGGGGCACGAACCGGAUUAGAUACCCGGGUAGUCCUAGCCGUAAACGAUACUCGCUAGGUGUCGGCCACGGUGCGACCGUGGUCGGUGCCGUAGGGAAGCCGUGAAGCGAGCCACCUGGGAAGUACGGCCGCAAGGCUGAAACUUAA